UCACUUACAGAUGGACCCGCGGCGCAUUAGCUAGUUGGUGGGGUAAUGGCUCACCAAGGCGACGAUGCGUAGCCGACCUGAGAGGGUGAUCGGCCACACUGGGACUGAGACACGGCCCAGACUCCUACGGGAGGCAGCAGUAGGGAAUCUUCCGCAAUGGACGAAAGUCUGACGGAGCAACGCCGCGUGAGUGAUGAAGGUUUUCGGAUCGUAAAGCUCUGUUGUUAGGGAAGAACAAGUGCGAGAGUAACUGCUCGCACCUUGACGGUACCUAACCAGAAAGCCACGGCUAACUACGUGCCAGCAGCCGCGGUAAUACGUAGGUGGCAAGCGUUGUCCGGAAUUAUUGGGCGUAAAGGGCUCGCAGGCGGUUUCUUAAGUCUGAUGUGAAAGCCCCCGGCUCAACCGGGGAGGGUCAUUGGAAACUGGGAAACUUGAGUGCAGAAGAGGAGAGUGGAAUUCCACGUGUAGCGGUGAAAUGCGUAGAGAUGUGGAGGAACACCAGUGGCGAAGGCGACUCUCUGGUCUGUAACUGACGCUGAGGAGCGAAAGCGUGGGGAGCGAACAGGAUUAGAUACCCUGGUAGUCCACGCCGUAAACGAUGAGUGCUAAGUGUUAGGGGGUUUCCGCCCCUUAGUGCUGCAGCUAACGCAUUAAGCACUCCGCCUGGGGAGUACGGUCGCAAGACUGAAACUCAAAGGAAUUGACGGGGGCCCGCACAAGCGGUGGAGCAUGUGGUUUAAUUCGAAGCAACGCGAAGAACCUUACCAGGUCUUGACAUCCUCUGACAACCCUAGAGAUAGGGCUUUCCCUUCGGGGACAGAGUGACAGGUGGUGCAUGGUUGUCGUCAGCUCGUGUCGUGAGAUGUUGGGUUAAGUCCCGCAACGAGCGCAACCCUUGAUCUUAGUUGCCAGCAUUCAGUUGGGCACUCUAAGGUGACUGCCGGUGACAAACCGGAGGAAGGUGGGGAUGACGUCAAAUCAUCAUGCCCCUUAUGACCUGGGCUACACACGUGCUACAAUGGACAGAACAAAGGGCUGCAAGACCGCAAGGUUUAGCCAAUCCCAUAAAUCUGUUCUCAGUUCGGAUCGCAGUCUGCAACUCGACUGCGUGAAGCUGGAAUCGCUAGUAAUCG
rnacentral:rRNA from 1 species